rnacentral:sRNA from 1 species
CAGUCCACUGCUGCGGACAGAUGUAGUGCACAUGGGCGUCAACCGCACCCGCCGUGACAAUGAGCUUCUCGCCGGCGAUCACCUCGGUGCUCGCACCGACAAUGAGGCUGGCCUCUACGCCUUCCAUCACAUCGGGGUUUCCAGCCUUACCGAUGCCGGUGAUCUUUCCGUCUUUCACGCCAAUAUCAGCCUUAUAGAUACCGCUCCAGUCGAUGAUCAGCGCAUUCGUGAUCAGCAGAUCCAGCGCAAGCGCAGAGUGUCGACCGGUCGCUUGGCCCAUACCUUCCCG